GGCGCUGUGGCUUAGUUGGUUAAAGACUGUUAAACAGGAGACUGUCUAGUAAACAGGAAGAUCCUAAAUUCGAAUCUUAGCAGUGCCU